AAAAUACUCCCACUCCACCACCUUCAAGUAUAUUCCUUCAUGAAAAAGGUUCAAUUCCUUUGGGAUAGUAAAUACCACUAACCUGAAGAAAGGCUCUCUCACCGUGAAGAUGCACAGCUUUGCCCAAAACCCCCAGGCAGUCCUAUUUAGCAGUGGAAGCCAAGAAGAAAAAUACUGAUGGUAUCUUGCUCAAACUAGGAAUCCAGUUUCUACCUGGCACUGCUUUUCUGUCUUGUGAACUGACUUCACUCAAUAUAGAUGGAUCAGGUGAAAAUACUGGAAAGCCAGAUUUUUCAUAUAUCCCUAAGGAGCCCUUCUCCUUGGCUCUCUGCAAAGGAACUCUAAAUCAGUGACAAUUGCUGCACUCAUGAAUACUUUUAUGCAUGUCAAAAGGAGCUCCUUCAACUCCUGACUGUUCACCAAGCAGCUUGAGAACACAUACUCCAACAGCUGCUUUCUUGAAAGGACAAGUAAAAAUAA